CCCUUAGAUGUCCUGGGCUGCACGCGCGCUACACUGGAAGUUACGGAUUGAGAUACUACCCUGUCCGAAAUGGUCCGGGUAAUCACCUAAAAGCUUGUCAUAAUUGGAAUGGAUUAUUGUAACUAGUAAUCCUGAACGAGGAAUUCCUAGUAAGUCCCAGUCAACAGCUGGUACUGAUUACGUCCCUGCCCUUUGUACACACCGCCCGUCGCUACUACUGAUUGGACGUUUAAGCAAGAUUUUUAAACACUGACAGUGUGUAGUUCACGCUAUACUACAGUGAGAAGAAGAAGAUCGAGCUUACUUGUCUAGAGGAAGUAAAAGGCGUAACA
rnacentral:rRNA from 1 species